CCUACGGGUGGCAGCAGUCGAGAAUCAUUCACAAUGGGGGAAACCCUGAUGGUGCGACGCCGCGUGGGGGAAUGCAGGUCUUCGGAUUGUAAACCCCUGUCAUGUGGGAGCAAAUUAAAAAGAUAGUACCACAAGAGGAAGAGACGGCUAACUCUGUGCCAGCAGCCGCGGUAAUACAGAGGUCUGAAGUGUUGUUCGGAAUCACUGGGCGUAAAGCGUGCGUAGGCUGUUUCGUAAGUCGUGUGUGAAAGGCGCGGGCUCAACCCGCGGACGGCACAUGAUACUGCGAGACGAGAGUGAUGGAGGGGGAACCGGAAUUCUCGGUGUAGCAGUGAAAUGCGUAGAUAUCGAGAGGAACACUCGUGGCGAAGGCGGGUUCCUGGACAUUAACUGACGCUGAGGCACGAAGGCCAGGGGAGCGAAAGGGAUUAGAUACCCGUGUAGUC
rnacentral:rRNA from 1 species